UACGUAGGGGGCUAGCGUUGUCCGGAAUCAUUGGGCGUAAAGCGCGCGUAGGCGGCCAGAUAAGUCCGGUGUGAAAGUCACAGGCUCAACCUGUGAAUGCCGCUGGAAACUGUCUGGCUAGAGUCCGGAAGGGGCGAGUGGAAUUCCUGGUGUAGCGGUGAAAUGCGCAGAUAUCAGGAGGAACACCAGCGGCGAGGGCGGCUCUCUGGAACGCAACUGACGCUGAGACGCGAAAGCGUGGGGAGCAAACAGG
rnacentral:rRNA from 1 species